rnacentral:rRNA from 1 species
UCUCGCAGCCAAAUCACCGUUGAACGCGUCCGACAUUGUCAAAUCACAGAAGCUUAGCGGCGGUCGAGCACGAUUCGUGCUUGGACGGGCGACCUCCUGGGAAUUCCAGGUGUUGUAGGCG